rnacentral:siRNA from 1 species
GGGCUGUUAUAGUAUGGGCCCUGU